CUACGGAGUACAUUUGCUUAAUUAUUUAAGCAUAAAUACCUACUUAAUGACUAUUAAAUUUCGGUCAUGUACAAUCGCAAUAGUCCGAUUAUAUAUCUAGUUUUGAGAGAACUAUAACUCUCAUAUGUUCUUUGAAAACUGAAUAGUAAAGAUAAAUUAAUAUAACAACGACAUCAAUAAAAAUAAAUUAGUCAAUUUGUUUUGUGAUACCGAGUAAUUAUUAUGAAAAUAAUAGUUUAUUAAAAUGUCUUUGAAUACAUCAACAAUAGGAAAAUACAUAA
rnacentral:misc_RNA from 1 species